GACGAACGCUGGCGGCGUGCCUAAUACAUGCAAGUUGAGCGCUGAAGGCUGGUACUUGUACCAACUGGAUGAGCAGCGAACGGGUGAGUAACGCGUGGGGAAUCUGCCUUUGAGCGGGGGACAACAUUUGGAAACGAAUGCUAAUACCGCAUAAAAACUUUAAACACAAGAUUUAAGUUUGAAAGAUGCAAUUGCAUCACUCAAAGAUGAUCCCGCGUUGUAUUAGUUAGUUGGUGAGGUAAAGGCUCACCAAGGCGAUGAUACAUAGCCGACCUGAGAGGGUGAUCGGCCACAUUGGGACUGAGACACGGCCCAAAAUCCUACGGGAGGCAGCAGUAGGGAAUGUUCGGCAAUGGACGGAAGUCUGACCGCACAACGCCGCGGGAGUGAAGAAAGUGUUCGGAUCGUAAAACUCUGUUGGUAGAGAAGAACGUUGGUGAGAGUGAAAAGCUCAUCAAGUGACGGUAACUACCCAGAAAGGGACGGCUAACUACGUG
rnacentral:rRNA from 1 species